rnacentral:rRNA from 1 species
UACGUAGGGUGCAAGCGUUGUCCGGAAUUAUUGGGCGGAAAGAGCUCGUAGGCGGUUUGUCGCGUCUGCUGUGAAAACGCGAGGCUCAACCUCGCGCCUGCAGUGGGUACGGGCAGACUAGAGUGCGGUAGGGGAGAUUGGAAUUCCUGGUGUAGCGGUGGAAUGCGCAGAUAUCAGGAAGAACACCCGUGGCUAAGGCGGCUCUCUAGUACGGUACUGACGCUGAGACGCGAAAGCGUGGGGAGCGAACAGG